rnacentral:rRNA from 1 species
UGCCAGCCGCCGCGGUAAUACGAAGGGUGCUAGCGUUGUUCGGAAUUACUGGGCGUAAAGCGCGCGUAGGCGGUUUGUCAUGUUGAGGGUGAAAGCCCGGGGCUCAACCCCGGAACGGCCUUCAAAACGGGCAGACUUGAGACCGAGAGAGGAGAGUGGAAUUCCCAGUGUAGAGGUGAAAUUCGUAGAUAUUGGGAAGAACACCGGUGGCGAAGGCGGCUCUCUGGCUCGGUUCUGACGCUGAGGUGCGAAAGCGUGGGGAGCAAACAGGAUUAGAUA